CCAGGGUGGGCAGGGUUCUUCCUUGCCUAUCUUGUUCAAUACUGAAUACCUUAGUACAUAAAGAGUGAUGCCUAGAACCCAGCAGAUGCUCAAUAAUAAAUAUUAGUUGAAUGGAAGUUGGGAUGAAUGAAUCAUAGGAGUGACAUCAUAAAAUACAAAGGUUAAUCAAAAAAAGGUAGAUGGCACAGACUGAAAAGGUAGAGGUUGGCAGCAAAGAGAGAAGUUAAUAGAUUAUUAGGGUACUUCCAGGCAUGAAAUAAUGAGGGGCUGAACUAGAAUUAUGGCCACUGGACUUGAAAGUAAAGGACUGGUGUGAGAAUCAUUUGGAAAGAACCAAUAGGCCUUGGUGAAUGACCAACCAGAUCUACAGAGAUGGAGAGAAAAGAAUCAAAGACAAUAUCGGGAAACCUUAAGCAUGGUUCAAGACAGCCUGAGUUCCUCGUCUAGGAAGCCUUCCCAGAAUUCUCAAGCCUGUGCUGUGUGUUCUAUUUCUGCAAUCAAUUAACACAAAUAACCUAUAUCAUCUUCUAUUAGGAUGUAAUAAUUAUAAUAUUAUAAUCCAGAUUUUGCAUAUGUUUGUUUCACCAACUAGAUUGCAAGCUUUGAAAGGUCAAGGAAAUAUUUAAUCCCCACAGUGCCUGGCCCUGGUCCUGCCACAAAGUAUAUGCUCUGUAAAUCCUCACUGAUUAGAAGAAAUCUGUAUUCUCUUCCGUACUGAAGAGGGCACUUACCUCUGUUUUUUGUUUUGAAUUGUUUUCAUCUUCUCUCUUAAUUGGUCCCAGGUAGUGUGGUAAAGGGGGCUUCCCAGGUGGCACUUGUGGUAAAGAACCUGCCAGCCAAGCAGGAGAUAUAAGAGACGUGGGUUUGAUCUCUGAGUUGGGAAGAUCCCCUGGAGGAAGGCAUGACAACCCACUCCAGUAUUCUUGCCUGGAAAAUCCCAUGGACAGAAGAGCCUGGCAGGCUAUAGUCCAUGGGGUCACAAAGAGUCAGACGUGAGCUCACCCCACCAGUUUUAAUUUCCUCGUCCAUAAAAUCAAGACAGCCAUGUCUACCUAGUGAGAACAUUUACUGAGAACUUAUGUGCUAGGCACUGCUGUUUAAUUCUCAUUUUACAAACGAGGAAACUGAGACACAGAGAAAGGAUGCACACGUAGGAAGUAUGGAACCAGAAGUCGGUCAUCGACAAUCUGGUCCCACAGUCCCUGUGCUUAAUGCUGCGCUUUAUAACCUCACAGGUGUGGUGACUGUCAAUACAAAACCAUAUCUAAAUAUCCUAUGUAAUGUUUCUGGCAGUGUCAGUAUAUACUGAAUAUGCUUAUUAUUAUUAUUGCUAUUCUAAAUAUCUAUUUAUUUAUUUGGUUGUUCCGGGUCUUAGCUGUGGGAUGGGGGUGGUCUUCCUAGUGUCAUGUGGGAUCUAGUUUCCUGACCAGGGAUCAAAUCUGGGCCCUCUGCAUUUGACACAGAGUCUUAGCCACUGGACAACCAGGGAUGUCCCAGAAUAUGCUAAUUAUUGUUAACAAAUAUUUUCGAGCAUGUAAUAUGUCCGUGGUUUGGGUUAGGCUUUGGGGAUGUGAAGAGGAAAAGAUACAGACUCAGCCCUCAAGUUUCUCCCAAGUUUAACAGUGCCACCAGAUAUUCCUAUGCCAAGAGGCAAACAGACAAUCAUAAACUAUCAAUACCAAAGGAAACUUUAGAAAACAUCCAAUCCAAGAAUAAACAAAUGGGACCUAAUUGAACUUAAAAGCAGUGAAAGAAACUAUACGCAAGGUGAAAAGACAGCCCUCAGAAUGGGAGAAAAUAAUAGCAAACAAAACAGCUGACAAAGAAUUAAUCUCCAAAAUAUACAAGCAGCUCAUGCUGCUCAAUACCAGAAAAAUGAACAACCCAAUCAAAAAGUGGGUAGAAGACCUGAAGAGACGUUUCUCCAAAGACAUACAGAUGGCUAAUAAACACAUGAAAAGAUGCUCAACAUCACUCAUUAUUAGAGAAAUGCAAAUCAAAAUGACAAGGAGGAAAAAAAAAAAAUGACAAGGAGGUAUCUUACACCAGUCAGAAUGGUCAUCAUCAAAAGGUCUACAAACAAUAAAUGCUGGAGAGGUUGCCUACAGCUCACAUCAUCAGAGGCAGUGCUUGGAAAAGAGCUGGGAGUUGGGAGAAAAGAAUUGGUGCUUUUGAACGGUGGUGCUGGAGAAGACUCUUGAGAGUCCCUUGGACUGCAAGGAGAUCAAACCAGCAAUCCUAAAGGAAAUCAACCCUGAAUAUUCAUUGGAAGGACUGAUGCUGAAGCUGAAGCUCCAAUAUGUUGUCACCUGAUGUGAUUCAUUGGAAAAAACCCUGAUGCUGGGAAAGAUUGAGGGCAGGAGAAGAGGGCGGCAGAGGAUGAGAUGGUUAGAUGGUUAGAUAGCAUCACUGAGUCAAUGGAGAUGAAUCUGAGCAAAACUCUGGGAGAUAGUGAAGGAUAGGGCAGCCUGGCAUGUUGCAGUCCAUGGGGUCGCAAAGAAUCAGACACAACUAAGGGACUGAACAAAAUUUUUAGCAGGCAGAAAGAUGAUUGUUAAAACUCAUCUGUAAGGCUUGUGUGUUAGACCAUCAUUUCUUAGAGUUCCUUGAGAAGUCUCUGUUCAUUCUGCUCAUGUUUAAUAAGCUCUUACUCAAGAAAGAAUUGGCUCUGGAAGUUUCCAGAAAGCUCAGCUAAACCAACACUUAAUCAAUCAAUUUUUCUGGAAAGGAUGAAAAUAACCAAAAUUAUCAUGUGUGUAUUGAAUGAAGAGCACCAGCCUGGGCAUGUGAGGGGUCUGAAAGGAUGGAGAGGGAGUUCAGUGAGGGGGGUAAGGACUGUGGGGCACUGGCCCAUCUUGUUCUCUUCAGGGUUCCAUUCAGGAAUAAUCACAUUUCAGAUCAACUCAGCAGCCAAAAAUUCCACAUGGCCUGCUCAAGGGUCUUUUUAAAUAUAUAAAAGAAUUUGAUUCCUUGAGAAGACAGUUUCUAGUAGAAUAUAACCUUGCAAAAUACCUAGAACACCCACAGAAAAGGAUAUAUAAGGAUAUGAGGUUUCUAUAGAAAGAUAACACUGCUUAUUCACCAGCAAUAGAACUAGAGCUUUGUCUCUUGCCUCCCUCCCCCAGGGUCAAGGAGGGGUCAUGGUUGGGAUUAAACUGCCCACUAGCUUACUCGCCUCAUUUCUGAGCGUCUGCCACCUUGCCAGUUGUUUCCGAAACACACCACGUCCUUCCUCAUCUCUCUGCCUUUGCAUAUGCCUCUGCCUGGAAAUCCUUUCCCUGCUUUAGCUUUCCAGCAAACUUGUGAAAGAGAAAGUGAAAGUCGCUCAGUGGGGUCUGACUCCUUGCCAUGGGCUAACAAUGGCACCCCACUCCAGUACUCUUGCCUGGAAAAUCUCAUGGAUGGAGGAGCCUGCUGGGCUACAUUCCAUGGGGUCGCUAAGAGUUGGACACGACUGAGUGACUUCACUUUCACUUUUCACUUUCAUGCAUUGGAGAAGGAAAUGGCAACCCACUCCAGUGUUCUUGCCUGGAGAAUCCCAGGGACGGAGGAGCCUGGUGGGCUGCGGUCUAUGGGGUCGCACAGAGUUGGACACGACUGAAGCGACUUAGCAGCAGCAGCAGCAUACAGUCCGUAGAAUUCUCCAGGCCAGAAUACUGGAGUGGGUAGCCUUUCCCUUCUCUAGGGAAUCUUCCCAACCCAGGGAUCGAAUCCAGGUCUCCUGCAUUGCAGCUGGAUUCGUUACCAGCUGAGCCACAAGGGAAGACCAAGAAUACUAGAGUGGGUAGCCUAUCCCUUCUCCAGCGGAUCUUCCUGACCCAGGAGUUUACCCGGGGUCUCCUGCAUUGCAGGUGGAUUCUUUACCAACUGAGCUAUCAGGGAAGCUCAGCAAACUUUUACCCAUCCUUCAAAACCCCAUUCAAUGACACUGUUUGGUGAAAACUUCCCUAACUCCCCAGAGAAUCCCCAGACAGUUAAUCAUCCUUUAUCAGUGCUCCCAGAGCAGCUGGUUCAAAGCUUAUCACCCUGUGCAGUCA
ensembl:lncRNA